rnacentral:rRNA from 1 species
CGUAGGGACCGAGCGUUGUCCGGAUUUAUUGGGCGUAAAGAGCUCGUAGGCGGCGCAGUUAGUCAGAAGUUAAAACGUAGGGCUUAACCCUGCGUCGCUUUUGAUACUGCUGAGCUUGAGUAUGGCAGGGGAGAAGGGAAUUCCACGUGUAGCGGUGAAAUGCGCAGAUAUGUGGAGGAACACCAGUGGCGAAGGCGCUUCUCUGGGCCAUUACUGACGCUGAGGAGCGAAAGCGUGGGUAGCGAACAGGAUUAGAUACCCUGGUAGUCCACGCCGUAAACGGUGGAUACUAGGUGUGGGAGAUAACCAACUUCUUCCGCGCCGUCGCUAACGCAUUAAGUAUCCCGCCUGGGGAGUACGGCCGCAAGGCUA